rnacentral:rRNA from 1 species
CGGUCCAGGACUCCUACGGGAGCAAGCAAUAGUGUCUCCGCCAGGGGCGAAGCCAGACGGAGCAACGCCGCGUGAGUGAUGAAGGUCUUCGGAUCGUAAAACUCUGUUAUUAGGGAAGAACAAAUGUGUAAGUAACUAUGCACGUCUUGACGGUACCUAAUCAGAAAGCCACGGCUAACUACGUGCCAGCAGCCGCGGUAA